rnacentral:tRNA from 1 species
UCCUCUGUAGUUCAAGUCGGUAGAACGGCGGACUGUUAAUCCGUAUGUCACUGGUUCGAGUCCAGUCAGAGGAG